GCCGUCGUAACCCGUUAAGGAGGCGGAACGGACUGUAAAUCCGUUGUCUUAUGACUCGAGUGGGUUCGAUACCCUCAGGCGGCACCA
rnacentral:tRNA from 1 species